UUUCCUGUGGCUUAAUUGGUGGAGCAUUGCGCUAACAAUGCAAAGGUCAUGGGUUUCAAAUUCCAGGGAAA